CCUACGGGUGGCAGCAGUGGGGGAUAUUGCACAAUGGGGGGAACCCUGAUGCAGCGACGCCGCGUGGGUGAAGAAGCGCCUCGGCGCGUAAAGCCCUGUCAGCAGGGAAGAAAAUGACGGUACCUGAAGAAGAAGCCCCGGCUAACUACGUGCCAGCAGCCGCGGUAAUACGGAGGAUUCAAGCGUUAUCCGGAUUUACUGGGUGUAAAGGGAGCGUAGACGGUUACGCAAGUCUGGAGGGAAAGGCGGGGGCCCAACCCCCGGACUGCUUUGGAAACUGUAUAACUGGAGUGCAGGAGAGGUAAGUGGAAUUCCUAGUGUAGCGGUGAAAUGCGUAGAUAUUAGGAGGAACACCAGUGGCGAAGGCGGCUUACUGGACUGUAACUGACGUUGAGGCUCGAAAGCGUGGGGAGCAAACAGGAUUAGAUACCCGGGUAGUC
rnacentral:rRNA from 1 species